AUACUUUUCUAUUUUGUUAUCAGGAUUUAUUUUUUUAAUUUUCUGGCAGGAAUGGGCUUCCAUACAAACUCCCUUCAGCGGCUGCUAUUCGUGCUGCGUUCAAGACACCUGGGAUAUUCCAGCCUCCAUCCUCCUGCUAACAGAAGGUGCCAUAUAGAGA